rnacentral:rRNA from 1 species
AUGGGCAUGCGUUCCAUUAGCUUGUUGGCGGGGUAACGGCCCACCAAGGCAUCGAUGGAUAGGGGUUCUGAGAGGAAGGUCCCCCACACUGGUACUGAGACACGGACCAGACUCCUACGGGAGGCAGCAGUGAGGAAUAUUGGUCAAUGGGCGCUAGCCUGAACCAGCCAAGUAGCGUGAAGGAUGACUGCCCUAUGGGUUGUAAACUUCUUUUGCAGGGGAAUAACGGUAGCUACGUGUAGCUAUGUGCAUGUACCUUGCGAAUAAGCAUCGGCUAACUCCGUGCCAGCAGCCGCGGUAAUACGGAGGAUGCGAGCGUUAUCCGGAUUUAUUGGGUUUAAAGGGUGCGUAGGCGGGUUUUUAAGUCAGCUGUGAAAGUUCGGGGCUCAACCCCGGAAUUGCAGUUGAUACUGGGAGCCUUGAGUACACAAGAGGCAGGCGGAAUUCGUGGUGUAGCGGUGAAAUGCUUAGAUAUCACGAAGAACUCCUAUUGCGAAGGCAGCUUGCUGGGGUGUAACUGACGCUGAUGCACGAAAGUGUGGGUAUCAAACAGAAUUAGAUACCCUGGUAGUCCACACAGUAAACGAUGAAUACUCGCUGUCGGCGAUAUACUGUCGGCGCCCGUCCAAAGCAUUAAGUAUUCCACCUGGGGAGU